CUACGGGUUGCUCCAGUCGAGAAUCUUCCGCAAUGGGCGCAAGCCUGACGGAGCAAUGCCGCGUGAGUGAUGAAGGCCUUCGGGUUGUAAAACUCUGUCAGAGGGGACGAAAUUUGACGGUACCCUCAGAGGAAGCCACGGCUAACUACGUGCCAGCAGCCGCGGUAAUCCGUAGGUGGCGAGCGUUAUUCGGAUUUACUGGGCGUAAAGGGUUCGUAGGGGGUUUGCCAAGUCUGAUGUGAAAUUCCGCGGCUCAACCGCGGACGUGCAUUGGAUACUGUCGAACUAGAGUUCCUGAUGGGAAAGCGGAAUUCCAGGUGUAGCGGUGGAAUGCGUAGAUAUCUGGAAGAACACCGGUGGCGAAGGCGGCUUUCUGGCAGGAUACUGACCCUCAUGGACGAAAGCGUGGGUAGCGAACAGGAUUAGAUACCCGAGUAGUC
rnacentral:rRNA from 1 species